GUGCGAGAAGAAUUUCUCUUAAUAAAAUUUACGUAAGUUUUAUAUUUGAUUCUGAAACUAUAAGGCUUGCGACACUUUAAUCCUCAAUCUUUAAUUCAUUAAAAAAAUUUAUUUGAAUAUUCAUAAGUAUUACAAUCAAGCCUUAAUUAUAACUAAUUUAAUUAACUAAAUAUUGAUGUAUCGCUAAUGUAAAAGUGAUGUGGCAGUGUUAUGAUUGAUGAUACGCCAAUAAUUAAAAUGCAUAUUAUUUUUAUAUCAAUAAUACGUUAAAAUUUAGUUAACUAAAUUGAAUUGUGAGACUUGAUUGCAAUUCAAAAUUUGAGCCAAAAAAUACAAUAAAUUAAAAUUUGAAAGCC
rnacentral:lncRNA from 1 species